rnacentral:rRNA from 1 species
CAGCCGCCGCGGUAAUACGUAGGUGGCAAGCGUUGUCCGGAAUUAUCGGGCGUAAAGGGCUCGCAGGCGGUUUCUUAAGUCUGAUGUGAAAGCCCCCGGCUCAACCGGGGAGGGUCAUUGGAAACUGGGAAACUUGAGUGCAGAAGAGGAGAGUGGAAUUCCACGUGUAGCGGUAAAAUGCGUAGAAAUGUGGAGGAACACCAGUGGCGAAGGCGACUCUCUGGUCUGUAACUGACGCUGAGGAGCGAAAGCUAGGGGAGCAAAUGGGAUUAGAUACCCCCGUAGUCCCUGUCUCUUAUAC